CUUCAAUGAAGAGACGAUGACGAGUCUGACUGGAGGUGUUAUGGUCCGGUGGCCCCUACUCCGUGCUGCGUUCUGCGGCGCAGUUUUAAGGGCCCUGGGUCAAAGUCACCACCAGAAGAUGACCAAGAGGCAUUUGUCUGAGAAGG